rnacentral:rRNA from 1 species
UCUCUCUGAAUCUGCGAACGGCUCCGCAAACCAGUUGUAAACCAAAGCAAGCAAGCCUGCGGUCCGGCCUUCACGGGUUGGGCUGUGGGUGAUACGGAUAACCCUGGUAAUUCUGAGGCUAAUACGAGAAUGUAAUCCCUGGUUGACCGGCAACGGAAGACUGGGGGGCGUGUGAUCUAUUUGCAAGACGGAUCCAGGAAGGGGUGCACGCUCUGACCGCGACAAAGACAGUUCCGACGGACCUCCGGGCGAGUCGGUUCUGAGCGGCUCUUGCGAUGUGCUUCUGACCUAUCAACUAGAUGGCAGCGUAACGGACAUGCCAUGGUUACAACGGGUACAGAGGAUUAGGGUUCGAUCCUGGAGAGUGGGCCUGAGAGAUU